ACGACGCUGGCGGCGUGCCUAAUACAUGCAAGUCGAACGCUUCUUUUUCCACCGGAGCUUGCUCCACCGGAAAAAAGAGGAGUGGCGAACGGGUGAGUAACACGUGGGGUAACCUGCCCAUCAGAAAGGGGAUAACACUUGGAAACAGGUGCUAAUACCGUAUAACAAUCGAAACCGCAUGGUUUUGAUUUGAAAGGCGCUUUCGGGUGUCGCUGAUGGAUGGACCCGCGGUGCAUUAGCUAGUUGGUGAGGUAACGGCUCACCAAGGCCACGAUGCAUAGCCGACCUGAGAGGGUGAUCGGCCACAUUGGGACUGAGACACGGCCCAAACUCCUACGGGAGGCAGCAGUAGGGAAUCUUCGGCAAUGGACGAAAGUCUGACCGAGCAACGCCGCGUGAGUGAAGAAGGUUUUCGGAUCGUAAAACUCUGUUGUUAGAGAAGAACAAGGAUGAGAGUAACUGUUCAUCCCUUGACGGUAUCUAACCAGAAAGCCACGGCUAACUACGUGCCAGCAGCCGCGGUAAUACGUAGGUGGCAAGCGUUGUCCGGAUUUAUUGGGCGUAAAGCGAGCGCAGGCGGUUUCUUAAGUCUGAUGUGAAAGCCCCCGGCUCAACCGGGGAGGGUCAUUGGAAACUGGGAGACUUGAGUGCAGAAGAGGAGAGUGGAAUUCCAUGUGUAGCGGUGAAAUGCGUAGAUAUAUGGAGGAACACCAGUGGCGAAGGCGGCUCUCUGGUCUGUAACUGACGCUGAGGCUCGAAAGCGUGGGGAGCAAACAGGAUUAGAUACCCUGGUAGUCCACGCCGUAAACGAUGAGUGCUAAGUGUUGGAGGGUUUCCGCCCUUCAGUGCUGCAGCUAACGCAUUAAGC
rnacentral:rRNA from 1 species